rnacentral:rRNA from 1 species
AGCGUGCUUUCGAUACGGGUUGACUUGAGGAAGGUAGGGGAGAAUGGAAUUCCUGGUGGAGCGGUGGAAUGCGCAGAUAUCAGGAGGAACACGAGUGGCGAAGGCGGUUCUCUGGGCCUUUCCUGACGCUGAGGAGCGAAAGCGUGGGGAGCGAACAGGCUUAGAUACCCUGGUAGUCCACGCUGUAAACGGUGGGUACUAGGUGUGGGGUCCUUCCAGGGUUCCGUGCCGUAGCUAACGCUUUAAGUACCCCGCCUGGGGAGUACGGCCGCAAGGCUAAAACUCAAAGGAAUUGACGGGGCCCCGCACAAGCGGCGGAGCAUGCGGAUUAAUUCGAUGCAACGCGUAGAACCUUACCUGGGUUUGACAUGAUCGGGAGUGCUCAGAGAUGGGUGUGCCUCUUUUGGGGUCGGUUCACAGGUGGUGCAUGGCUGUCGUCAGCUCGUGUCGUGAGAUGUUGGGUUAAGUCCCGCAACGAGCGCAACCCUUGUUCACUGUUGCCAGCACGUUAUGGUGGGGACUCAGUGGAGACCGCCGGGGUCAACUCGGAGGAAGGUGGGGAUGACGUCAAGUCAUCAUGCCCCUUAUGUCCAGGGCUUCACGCAUGCUACAAUGGCUGGUACAGAGAGUGGCGAGCCUGUGAGGGUGAGCGAAUCUCGGAAAGCCGGUCUCAGUUCGGAUUGGGGUCUGCAACUCGACCUCAUGAAGUCGGAGUCGCUAGUAAUCGCAGAUCAGCACGCUGCGGUGAAUACGUUCCCGGGGCUGU